UUAUCUCUGUAGAGUCUGCAUAUCAAUAAGCGGAGGAAAAGAAACUAACUAGGAUUCCCUCAGUAACGGCGAGUGAAGCGGGAAGAGCUCAAAUUUGAAAUCUUCAAGGUUUUACCUUGACGAAUUGUAGUUUAAAGAAGUGUUUUCUGUUGGAAUUUUGGUAAAGGUUCUUUGGAAUAAGACAUCAUAAGAGGGUGAGAAUCCCGUAUUUGACCAUUAUUUCCAGCUUUGUGAUACACUUUCAAAGAGUCGGAUUGUUUGGGAAUGCAGUCCAAAAUGGGUGGUAAAUUUCAUCUAAAGCUAAAUACUGGCGAGAGACCGAUAGCGAACAAGUACCGUGAGGGAAAGAUGAAAAGAACUUUGAAAAGAGAGUUAAACAGUACGUGAAAUUGUCAAAAGGGAAGCGUUUGACACCAGUGUUGUUUUCUCGAAAAUCAAUUAAAAAUGGCGGGAUUUUGUGUUGUAUUGACUUUAUCAGCUUUCUGCACUUUUUUCCUGUCUUUUUUAAUGCACUUUUCGUUUAACAAGUCAACAUCAAUUUCUUUUGUUGUAAAAGGGUCAUUGGAAGGUGGCUUUCUUUUCGGAGAAAGUGUUUAUAGCCUUUGACUUCUGCAAUCGGAGAGAUUGAGGUCUGCAGCGUAGAUCCUUCGGGGUUAGAUGCAUUUGUGCUAAGUUAUAGCCUUUCAUAGACAACUUGUUGACUAUGAUCAGUCAUGUAGCUUACUCGCUUAUGUCAUUUUACCUACGCUUAGGAUGUUGAUGUGAUACUGCGAGCA
rnacentral:rRNA from 1 species